rnacentral:tRNA from 1 species
AGAUAUAACUCAGUGGUAGAGCUGUUGCUUGGCAUGCAGGAGGCCCUGGGUUCAACACCUAGCACUGUUUA